rnacentral:tRNA from 1 species
GGCCAGGUAGCUCAGUCGGUAGAGCAGGGGACUGAAAAUCCCUGUGUCGGCGGUUCGAUUCCGUCCCUGGCCA